rnacentral:rRNA from 1 species
AAUAGAUACCCGGGUAGUCCACGCCGUAAACGAUGGGCACUAGAUGCUUGGGGGAGCGACCCUCUGAGUGUCGGCGCUAACGCAUUAAGUGCCCCGCCUGGGGAGUACGGCCGCAAGGCUGAAACUCAAAGGAAUUGACGGGGGCCCGCACAAGCGGUGGAGCAUGUGGUUUAAUUCGACGCAACGCGAAGAACCUUACCUAGGCUUGACAUGUACGGGAAACCCCUGAGAAACCAGGGGCCCUCUUCGGAGUCCGUGCACAGGUGCUGCAUGGCUGUCGUCAGCUCGUGUCGUGAGAUGUUGGGUUAAGUCCCGCAACGAGCGCAACCCCCGUUCCCAGUUGCCAGCGCGUAAUGGCGGGGACUCUGGGAAGACUGCCGGUGCCAAACCGGAGGAGGGUAGGGACGACGUCAAGUCAUCAUGGUCCUUACGCCUAGGGCUACACACGUGCUACAAUGGUCGGUACAGAGGGUUGCGAGCUCGCGAGAGUAAGCCAAUCCCAUAAAGCCGGCCUCAGUGCGGAUUGGAGGCUGCAACUCGCCU